rnacentral:lncRNA from 1 species
AGAAGAAAUCUCACUGGCUUUGCAUGAAAUUCUUAUAUUCUGAUUUCAAUUCUUUGCAUUACGUUAUUUUGAGCCUUAUCCAGUUCAGUACUGAAUUGUUACCUUCCUGAUACAGGAAUACAUUUAAACACAUUUAUCCUCAGAGAAAGCUAAUAAAAUCAGUGGGUGUGAAGAAUUCAGUGGUAUCCAAAAGAAAGUGUGUAUAUUUUCAUUUUAAAAGUCAAAUAAUGCUCUAAAUGCACACAUACAAUGUCUUAUGUGAAAAGACAAAAAAACCAAACAAGAACUUUGAAAUUAUUCUGAUUAUUUUCACAAUUUAUAAAUAUCAAGUUGAACUUGAUGUUACAUGGAGUUUGAAGACACUUGGAAUUUUGCUGCACUUUUAGUCAUUGUUUUUAUUUUUAUUAUUAUUAAUAUUAGUGCUUUCAUGUUACUUAAAGUUUCAAAGCUAAGAGCUAGGAAAGCUUUUUCUUAAUUUGAUGAAAUAAUGAGUUGUGGAUCAAACAAUCUUAAAUUAAUAACAAUGACAAAUGGCUCUGAAACUGCUCUUGAACAUAAAAGGAAACAACUCAAUUAAGCAAAUGUUGUCAUCAAGAACAUCUAUAAGAGCUACACCAGUGAUCACAGCUGUGUAAAUUUUCUCAUCACUGUUAAUAAAAAGCAAAGUUAAAACGCAUAUGAAGCUUUAAUUAAAAAUCUGUAUAAUAUCGAUGUGAUUUCUACAGCUCAAUGCUCAUCAACCAUUUCAAGAUUUAGGUCAAAGCUACAAGAAACCAUAUUAAAAUGAAAGCAAAAAGAAAGAGAGAGAAAGAGAAACAAGAGAGAGGAGGAGUGGAUUAGAAUGUAGUAUAAAGAUGAAGUUUCUGGCAGAAGACGAAGUUUUCAGUAUAUACACAUGGUGCAAAGGAUGGUUGGGAUGACUUGGUGUAAUCUCUUAGGUGGGGCGGCUGUUUAGAGUGAGGCAGAUGCACUAGCUAUCAAAAACAAAAGCAACAUUUCUUGCAGCCUCUUGACACAGCUGAUACUAUUUUCUGUUUGGAUAGGUAGACAUUGCCUCUUGGCUGCUGUUGUAAACAGCCAUACAGUUCUAACUACCAACAGAGCUUGGUCUCCAGGCCAAAUUAAUUUUUUUUUUUUUUUUUUUUUUGUGGUGUACUUUCCCUGUACACUUUCCCUGUAUCACCUAUUGCUCAAGUCUGGGGGAAACAAGCUACAGAUUUUGAAGGUGUCAUGGGAGCAUUUAGCAAGUGAACUGUAGGAAUGGGUGCAAGUAGUGAGCUAAGAACUUCAGUAACAUCUCAUCAGUGGACAAGAGCAGAUAGGUGGACCGGUGCCUGAUCCUGGGGCUUGUGCAGGUUCAGGGAGGCAGCUUAUAUUUGACAAGCACAUCCUCUAGGGCAUAGGCUCCUACAGCUUGAAAUAGGUGUCCAGACUGCUGGGUAUCGCACAUGGCAUGUUGCGAUGUACUCCCCAUGGAGUGUAGGCAAGCAGCUCAGGUAUUAACAUCCAUAUGCUAGAUGUGUAAAAUUGAGUGAGACGAAUACAACAUGGUGAAACAGGAUUGGAUCAGAGAGAAAGCUGAGAGUGAAUGAGAGUGCCCGAAAAUGAUGGGAAUAACAUGCGUGAGUAGGGGCUUCAUG